AAAUUGAACAAAUAAAGGCAACAGUAGUAUACCGCUGUUCAAAACUCAUAAAUCCAUGGACAAAAAACAAAAUCGGGGUAACAAACUAAAACCGAGGGAAACGCAUUAAAUAUAAGAGGAGAACAACGACACAACACCGAAAAGCAACACACAAAACACCACGAGAAUAACAAAUAUAACAUCAAAACCAAAUACAAGAAUUUGGGAUAGAUAAGUACCGUGCCACGUCUUAUCUAAAAAAUAAGAGAAAACACAAACGACUCAACGUUAAAAUGCAACACACACAGAAACGAACAAUAUUAUAACAAUGGCCAUCUUCCUGACUUGGUACAGGACACUUUUAAAGGGGAAUAAAAGUGGUGGGUUGAAC
rnacentral:lncRNA from 1 species